rnacentral:rRNA from 1 species
UACGUAGGGGGCAAGCGUUGUCCGGAUUUACUGGGCGUAAAGAGCGUGUAGGCGGCCAAACAGGUCCGUUGUGAAAACUGGAGGCUUAACCUCCAGACGUCGACGGAAACCGUAUGGCUAGAGUCCGGAGGAGGAGAGUGGAAUUCCUGGUGUAGCGGUGAAAUGCGCAGAUAUCAGGAAGAACACCAAUGGCGAAGGCAGCUCUCUGGGACGGUACUGACGCUGAGACGCGAAAGCGUGGGGAGCGAACAGG